UAGCGAAACCUUACGCGGCUACGAACAUUUUUUGUGUGAUACAAUCUUUUGAUGUUGUGGUGUGCUUUGACGUUUUCGGACAUUUUGAAUGUAUUACGAUGUAUUCGGACAUUUUAAAUAUAUUACGAUGCCGUUACAUAAUACAAAGUUAUAAUAUUACCAUAAGUUAAAACUACAUUAGAGUUUCUUAAAGUCAAUAUCUUUGGAGCUUAGAGGCGUUGCGAAUAAAUCAAUAGAGAUAUCCAAACCAGCAUUCCUUUGUUCAUCGUGAGGGAUGCGUAUCAAACCUUUUAGAAACUCGGGACAUCAUGACGGAAGCAACUCACUGCAGACACGCAGUAGACGUCAUUUACACAGACUUUGCAAAGACGCUCGACAAAGUACCACAUAAACGCCUCUUUCAUAAGCUGAGAGCGUACGGUAUUCAAGGCGCUCUCGUUGACUGGAUUGCAGCUUGGCUAAACAAUCGAUGUCAACGAGUGGUUAUAAACAGCAUUACUUCUGAAUGGAAAGCAGUCACUAGUGGAGUGCCUCAAGGCUCGGUUUUGGGGCCAUUGCUAUUCGUAAUCUUUGUAAACGACCUGCCGGACAGAAUUACUCAUCAUGUGAAACUGUUUGCCGACGACAGCAAAAUAAUAGGGAUAAUUAAAAAGGAGUCGGACAGCAUCACUCUCCAAGAUAACGUUGACAGAGCAGUGGAAUGGUCACACAUUUGGCUCUUGCAUUUCAAUGUUGAUAAAUGCAAAGUAAUGCAUGUUGGGCGCGGAUGUAACAAGUCAAAGUACAAAUACUCAAUGUCUAACGUCGACGGCACCCGCCGUCCUCUCGAAAAAACCGCAGUCGAAAGAUAUUUUGGUGUGAUGGUCUAGAAUGAUCUUAAAGUCAGACCGUAAAUAGAGUCAGCCGCAUUAUUAGCAAAUAGAAUGCUAGGGCUCAAAAAAACAUUUCGCAGUCGCAGUUUUUAUUUACGGCGCACUCUGUAUCUCACUUACAUUCUCCCCCAUCUUGAGUUUGUUGUACAAGACUGGUCACUGCAUUUAAAAAUCAGACAUUGCCAUUCUUGAGCAAGUCCAACAACGAGCAACAAAAACAAAAUCGACUAAUAAGAAGCAGUGAACGCUCAGUCCAUCAACGCUUUCAAAAACAACAUAAGAAAGUCACUUUAUAGAUACAACUGCUGCUUUAUCUGUAGCGUCUGUAUCUCCAUGUUCGUCAGCAUAGAGGGACCUGGUGUAGCACCUCUUCAUCAAAUUAUAAAUGGAUUAUUGUAUUUGUAUUUGAUCACUGAAAUAAAUAAAUAACAAAUAA
rnacentral:lncRNA from 1 species